UCGAAACCUGCCCAGCAGAGCGACCCGUGAACAUCUUCAACCACAUGGGUGUUGGGGCGGUAGGUGCCUCGUGUGCCUGCUUUCCCCUAUCCCAGGCCAAGGGGCGYUCACUUGUGAGCCGUCCCCUUGGCACAACAACGARCCCCGGCGCGUAAUGCGUCAAGGAAUAUAAACUUNAUGUGUGUGCUCUCCGUCUGCCCGGUUAGCCGUGCGGGGGAGUGGUGCCAUGUCUUAACAAUA
rnacentral:rRNA from 1 species